GACGAACGCUGGCGGCGUGCUUAACACAUGCAAGUCGAACGGAAAGGCCCUGCUUUUGUGGGGUGCUCGAGUGGCGAACGGGUGAGUAACACGUGAGUAACCUGCCCUUGACUUUGGGAUAACUUCAGGAAACUGGGGCUAAUACCGGAUAGGAGCUCCUGCUGCAUGGUGGGGGUUGGAAAGUUUCGGCGGUUGGGGAUGGACUCGCGGCUUAUCAGCUUGUUGGUGGGGUAGUGGCAUACCAAGGCUUUGACGGGUAGCCGGCCUGGGAGGGGGACCGGGCACAUUGGGACUGAGAGACGGCCCAGACUCCUACGGGACGCAGCAGUGGGGAGUAUUGCACAAUGGGCGGGAGCCUGAUGCGGCAACGCCGCGUGCGGGAUGACGGCCUUCGGGUUGUAAACCACUGUCGCCUGUGACGAGGCGUGAGUGACGGUAAUGGGUAAAGAAGCACCGGCUAACUACGUG
rnacentral:rRNA from 1 species